rnacentral:rRNA from 1 species
GUGAGGAAUAUUGCGUAAUGGAGGCAACUCUGACGCAGCCAUGCCGCGUGCAGGAAGAAGGCGCUACGCGUUGUAAACUGCUUUUAACCGGGAAGAAACCCCAGGACGUGUCCUGGGUUGACGGUACCGGAGGAAUAAGCACCGGCUAACUUCGUGCCAGCAGCCGCGGUAAUACGAAGGGUGCAAGCGUUAUCCGGAUUCAUUGGGUUUAAAGGGUGCGUAGGCGGAGCGUUAAGUCAGUGGUGAAAUCCUGCAGCUUAACUGUAGACUUGCCAUUGAUACUGGCGCUCUUGAGUGCGCUUGAAGUGGGCGGAAUGUGCCGUGUAGCGGUGAAAUGCUUAGAUAUGGCACAGAACACCAAUUGCGAAGGCAGCUCACUAAGGCGAUACUGACGCUGAGGCACGAAAGCGUGGGGAUCGAACAGGAUUAGAAACCCCAGUAGUCC